UACGUAGGGUGCGAGCGUUGUCCGGAGUUAUUGGGCGUAAAGAGCUCGUAGGCGGUGUGUCACGUCGGCCGUGAAAACCUGCAGCUUAACUGUGGGCGUGCGGUCGAUACGGGCAUCACUGGAGUUCGGCAGGGGAGACUGGAAUUCCUGGUGUAGCGGUGAAAUGCGCAGAUAUCAGGAGGAACACCGGUGGCGAAGGCGGGUCUCUGGGCCGAUACUGACGCUGAGGAGCGAAAGCGUGGGGAGCAAACAGG
rnacentral:rRNA from 1 species